rnacentral:SRP_RNA from 2 species
GCUGGGCAUGGUGGCGGGUGCCUGUAAUCCCAGCUACUUGGGAGGCUGAGGCAGGAGAAUCGCUUGAACCCGGGAGGUGGAGGUUGCAGUGACCUGAGAUCGUGCCACUGCACUCCAGCCUGGGUGACAGAGCGAGGCUCUGUCUCAA